CGUGCACCUUUUGUAGGUCCUCGAAAGAGGAUCUAUGUAUUUCAUCAUCACACCUAUCGUAUGUCUAGAAUGUCAUCGUCGACCACUGGGCGGCGAAAUAAAUAAUACAACUUUCAGCAACGGAUCUCUUGGCUCUCGCAUCGAUGAAGAACGCAGCGAAUUGCGAUAAGUAAUGUGAAUUGCAGAUUUUCAGUGAAUCAUCGAAUCUUUGAACGCACCUUGCGCUCCUUGGUAUUCCGAGGAGCAUGCCUGUUUGAGUGUCAUUAAAUUCUCAACCAUGACUUUGUUGACAUGGCUUGGAGUUGGGGGUUGCUGGCUUGUUUGUCAGCUCUCCUGAAAUACAUUAGCGGUGGACAAGCAAGGCCUUCCGACGUGAUAAUGAUCGUCGUGGGGCGGAGCAUCAACGUCUGUCUGCUUCUAAAUCCCAGAUGCCUU
rnacentral:misc_RNA from 1 species